rnacentral:lncRNA from 1 species
AAGAUGAUGACAGAAGAAGGAGAGGGAAGGUUUAAUGAAAAUUGAAAUUAUAUAUGGAAAAAUGAUACGGAGAAAAACGUGCAAAGUAGUAAUAGAGUAUGUUCUUCCAUAAAUUUCAAUUAUUUUUGGGGUUUUUUUGCAAUACAUAUACCCAAAUUUUGUUUCGCACGUUAUUAUUACCUAUUUUCUAUGUUUUUUUCUCAUUUCUCGAUAAUAUAUAUAGGCUAAAUAUCUAAUGCGUCGACUCCUUUAUGAACCAUCGUGCGUUGAACCUCUCAAAUUUCAGCUUUUUCGAUCGUAUGGUCUUUCGUCUGUCAUGCAUAUGUCAUCUCUUUCGAACAACGUCCUGUUACAAUUUUGAAAAGAGCUGAUAGACGAAAUUUCUAUCAAAC